rnacentral:rRNA from 1 species
CAGGGAUUGCCCUAGUAACGGCGAGUGAAGCGGCAACAGCUCAAAUUUGAAAUCUGGCCCUCGGGUCCGAGUUGUAAUUUGUAGAGGAUGCUUUUGGUGCGGUGCCUUCCGAGUUCCCUGGAACGGGACGCCAUAGAGGGUGAGAGCCCCGUCUGGUUGGACACCAAUCCUCUGUAAAGCUCCUUCGACGAGUCGAGUAGUUUGGGAAUGCUGCUCUAAAUGGGAGGUAUAUGUCUUCUAAAGCUAAAUAUUGGCCAGAGACCGAUAGCGCACAAGUAGAGUGAUCGAAAGAUGAAAAGCACUUUGAAAAGAGAGUUAAACAGUACGUGAAAUUGUUGAAAGGGAAGCGCUUAUGACCAGACUUGGGCUUGGUAGAUCAACCUGGGUUCUCCCUGGUGCACUCUUCCUCGUCCAGGCCAGCAUCAGUUCGCUGCGGGGGAUAAAGGCUUCGGGAAUGUGGCUCCCUCGGGAGUGUUAUAGCCCGUUGCGUAAUACCCUGCGGUGGACUGAGGUUCGCGUUCUGCAAGGAUGCUGGCGUAAUGGUCAUCAGCGACCCGUCUUGAAACACGGACCAAGGAGUCGUCUUCGUAUGCGAGUGUUCGGGUGUUAAACCCCUACGCGUAAUGAAAGUGAACGCAGGUGAGAGCUUCGGCGCAUCAUCGACCGAUCCUGAUGUUCUCGGAUGGAUUUGAGUAAGAGCAUACGGGGCCGGACCCGAAAGAAGGUGAACUAUGCCUGUAUAGGGUGAAGCCAGAGGAAACUCUGGUGGAGGCUCGCAGCGGUUCUGACGUGCAAAUCGAUCGUCAAAUAUGGGCAUGGGGGCGAAAGACUAAU